GGAGAGAUGGCUCAGUGGUUAAGAGCACUGACUGCUCUUCCAGAGGUCCUGAGUUCAAUUCCUAGGAACCACA
rnacentral:tRNA from 1 species